GGCGUCAGUAGCGCUUUGGUUCAACCACACGACUUUUAUCCAGAAUCUGAGCCAGAGGGAGAGGCUGCUGAAGAAGUUCAAACUCUACAACUGCAGCAGGACGUUUCUGAAUGGUGCUCCUGUGGAAACUGUGCAACCAUGCCCACAGAAGCUGAGAAUAUCUGCUGCUAGGAGAUACCACAGGUUACCAGACGGCUAUGGGAGAUCGAGGAAGAUUUACCAUGUAUGGUAGACCGUCCUGGGUUGGAGCCGCUCUGCCUCAAUGUGUUCUGCCUGCAACAUGUACCGCACUGACUAUGGUCCUUUACGGUUGAGAGGAAUACACCAAAUCUGGGUCGUCAUUCCAGCCUGCGUGGUCCUACGCAUCCAUGCCGUGUUUCCUGACGCCACAGGCCAGGACGUGAGUUUUAGACUGGCCCAUGAUAGAACCGGGACACAGAGCUGGAUAUGACCUCCUCCUUCUCAGGCCGCUCGAACUGUGCAGUGAGGUCCUCUGGGAUGGGGAUGGCCAAAGCAGCUUCUGUGUAUGGUCCCAGGUCAACAAAGACUUUUUCAAAUAUGAGGUCCACCACAUUCCCCGUUUGAUAAAACACAAAAGAUUUUGUUUACAUUUUUCACUUUUUUGUUGUUUUUUUACAAAACAAUGAUUGAAAGUCUGUUUCUAACUCCUGACAUUUUCUUUUCUGUAUUUUGUUGUUGAUGGAACUGUCAUAACAUUAUACGUGCAAUACUUAAUACAAUGUGUAUAAAACAUUUUUUGGUUGAAAAA